GACAGAGGGGGCAAGCGUUGCUCGGAAUCACUGGGCGUAAAGGGCGCGUAGGCGGGAUGGCAAGUCAGUCGUGAAAUCUCUCGGCUCAACCGAGAAACGUCGGCUGAUACUGCCGUUCUUGAGGGAUGCAGAGGAGACUGGAAUUCCCGGUGUAGCGGUGAAAUGUGUAGAGAUCGGGAGGAACACCGGUGGCGAAGGCGGGUCUCUGGGCAUCUCCUGACGCUGAGGCGCGAAAGCGUGGGUAGCAAACAGG
rnacentral:rRNA from 1 species